rnacentral:misc_RNA from 1 species
UUACUAGGUGCCAUCUACUAAUGAAUUUAUGAUGAGUAAAAUGUGAUAUUGAGUCAUUUUUAUAUGGAAUACAUUGUACAAUAUUGUAAAUUAAUCUGACCAACAGUUAACAGUUUUGAGAUACCAGUACUGGUGAUAGUGAACAGGACAGAGUACCAGCCAACUAUCGCCAUGAACAACAAGAAGUCGGCCAAAGCCGCCGCCGCCACAUGUUGUCUGCAGGAGCUGGGGCUGGUACCCAGGGACCCACCAAAGUGAGGCGUGAUGUGGCUACUCUCAUACUAAUGCAGUAUAUGGCUACUUCAAAAGUGAAACGUUUUGUGGCUAUCCUAAGAGUGAGGCAUAAUGUGGCUACCCUUAUCUUGAAGAUUUAUGUGGCAACCACAAGAAUGAGGUGGGAUGUGACUAUUCUGUCAGAGAACUCCAUCUGGAAAUAGAAUGAAGCUGAUAAUUGAAAUACUUCUAAGGUGCAGUUGUGUUUUUUUAUGGAUCAUAGGAGUAUUUGCAAGGUCAUUUUGUUAUACAUAGAAAGUUUGUUUUUUUUGGCAGGCAAAAAAAACAUUUCAUUUUUUUUUUUUUAUACAUAUCAGUUUUUGUUGUAAAAGUUCAAUGUUUCGAAGACACUCGUGUGAAAAGAGAAAUUGAUUCUGAUGCUGUUGUUCUAGAUGUGUGCUCUUUGUGUGGAUGUAUGUGUAACUAUGUUUGGUCAUCAUUCAGUCAAUGUGUGCACAUGUAAUUUACAUGCACAGUGCAUGGAGGUGAAAUACUGUUAAACCGAUAGAAUGUACAGUUGAAAUACUCCAUAGAAUUUUAAAUUUGUAAAUUGUUAUUUUUAUCAAGCAUAAAAACACAUGAUGACAUGUCUUAUGACAUAUACAUGGUCAUUAUGUAUAGGUUGUACAUGUAAUGUUGAUAAAAUGCACUAAACUACAUUUGUACGAAUUUGUAUUAAUUUGUUUGCUGUAUUUGUGUUGUUUGUUUUUUCAUGAGGUGAAGAUCUUUAAAAACUUGAUUUGAAUGAUUUAAAGUGAAAGUGUUUGUGCAGGACUUUAAGUAUGAAAUGUGAUGGUUCUGGCUGUGUUUAGUACUCCUAUUCAAGCUUGUUUUCCUUAUCGCCUCACUUUGUUGAUGAGAUCGUGUUCUAAGAGUAUGUAUGUGUUUUACAGACAUGAAUUUCAGAAUGAAGUAAAUCAA